rnacentral:rRNA from 1 species
CCCUUAGAUGUUCUGGGCCGCACGCGCGCUACACUGAUGCAUUCAACGAGUCUAAAACCUGGUCUGAGAGGGCUGGGUAAUCUUUUGAAAGUGCAUCGUGAUUGGGAUAGAUGAUUGCAAUUCUUCAUCUUCAACGAGGAAUGCCUAGUAAACGCAAGUCAUCAGCUUGCAUUGAUUACGUCCCUGCCCUUUGUACACACCGCCCGUCGCUCCUACCGAUUGAACGAUCCGAUGAAAACUGUGGAUUGAGAGUCUGAGUGGGUUCGCCUACCUCAACUUUCGAGAGGCGGUUUAAAUCUUAUCGUUUAGAGGAAGGAGAAGUCGUAACA